UACGUAGGGGGCUAGCGUUGUCCGGAUUUAUUGGGCGUAAAGAGCGUGUAGGCGGCCAGACAGGUCCGUUGUGAAAACUCGAGGCUCAACCUCGAGACGCCGAUGGAAACCGUCUGGCUAGAGUCCGGAAGAGGAGAGUGGAAUUCCGUGGUGUAGCGGUGAAAUGCGCAGAUAUCAGGAAGAACACCCGUGGCUAAGGCGGCUCUCUAGUACGGUACUGACGCUGAGACGCGAAAGCGUGGGGAGCGAACAGG
rnacentral:rRNA from 1 species